rnacentral:rRNA from 1 species
AGAGCGAACGCUGGCGGCAGGCCUAACACAUGCAAGUCGAGCGCCCGUAGCAAUACGGGAGCGGCAGACGGGAUAGUAACACGUGGGAACGCGCCCUUCGGUUCGGAAUAACUCAGGGAAACUUGAGCUAAUACCGAAUACGCCCUUACGGGGAAAGAUUUAUUGCCGAAGGAACGGCCCGCGUCCGAUUAGCUAGUUGGUGAGGUAAUGGCUCACCAAGGCUACGAUCGGUAGCUGGUCUGAGAGGAUGACCAGCAUCACUGGGACUGAGACACGGCCCAGACUCCUACGGGAGGCAGCAGUGGGGAAUAUUGGACAAUGGGCGCAAGCCUGAUCCAGCCAUGCCGCGUGGAUGAUGAAGGCCUUAGGGUUGUAAAGUCCUUUUAACGGGGAAGAUAAUGACGGUACCCGUAGAAUAAGCCCGGCUAACUCGUGCCAGCAGCCGC